rnacentral:misc_RNA from 1 species
AAAUAGCCCCGAUAGCAACGGUUACCCCACAGCAAGAUCUGGCCAAUGCAUUGGAGCGAGGAGUAUGAGUGAAUAGCGGGAAGAAGC